UACAGAGGUCUCGAGCGUUGUUCGGAUUCAUUGGGCGUAAAGGGUGCGUAGGCGGCGGGGUAAGUCUGAUGUGAAAUCCCGGGGCUCAACCCCGGAACUGCAUUGGAUACUGCUCUGCUUGAGUACUGGAGAGGAGACUGGAAUUUACGGUGUAGCAGUGAAAUGCGUAGAUAUCGUAAGGAAGACCAGUGGCGAAGGCGAGUCUCUGGACAGUUACUGACGCUGAGGCACGAAGGCUAGGGGAGCAAACGGGG
rnacentral:rRNA from 1 species